GCUGAGUGGGGAAGGCGGGGGGAGGGGGCGCUGGCGGGCGACAACCUCGCGGAGCGCGGGAGCUCUCAGCGGAGAGGCCUCCUGAGGGCGUCUAAAAAUAGGCCUCCGUCCCCCUGCAGGCACGGCCGAGAGCCUGAGCGAGGAGAGGCGGAGAGCGAGGGAGGGGCGGCGGACGGGGUCGUGUGAGGCCGCGCGGGCGGGGCCCGGCCCGGCAGACAAAGGAGCCGCGCGUGGCCGUUUCUCUUCAGAGCUCUCCUCACUGCCGUGCCCGGAGCGCGGCUCGCGGGUGCGCCCGCAUAACGACAAAUAGAUACACGCACAUAUCGUCAGGAGCCGGACUUGUGAAAAUCGGGGAACAGAACCUUUUUUUGGCGAUUGCAGAAAAGAAUUCUCCAUUUUCCGCGUGCCUCACAGUCGGGAACCUGAGCCCAUGUGUCACAGACACGAUUUGACUGCAACAGCGCUGCAGCAUCUGAGGAGGGGAAGGUGGUGUUGCAGGACGUGCUGCAGAGCCUCAUAAGAUGCGGCGGUGAUUGCGUUAUUUGAAUUCCUGUGCGUGCAAAGCGUUUACACCGCGGCUUCCGGAAGGAUAACUUUCAUUGUGAUUCUCCAUAGGUGCUACGUGAAACAAUAAAGGAAAUGGGGCUUAACGAGCUGUUUACUUUUGAGCGAGCACGUGCUAACAAACGGCCUGUUUCUGGAAAGUGGUCGCUGCUCGCUGUGAUGUCUGUGGGUGCUGCACAGCACGAGCCCGGGCUCAGCCGUUCCAUGUGGGGCAUGGGCGGGGGGGGGGGGGGGGCACACUGCCGCAAGGCCUGCUCGCCCCUCUGCUCUUCAGAUCCUACUGAAAAAGAGAAAAAAACCAAAAAACAAGUCAGUACAUUCUUCUGCCUGUGUGGAGGACAGCAGUAAAGUGUCUCAGAGGCACCGAUUUUUCUCCUUCGAGGGGGUUCCUGUGAAACGUGAGGGAAAAAGGCAGCCUUCCAGGCAAACUUCUAACUGCUUGUUGAGCCACUUCAGGCUUGCAUGUGGGGUUGGUCCGCAAGCAAUGAUUUUCCAUUACUGCAAGGGGCAUGAAGUGAAAUGACUCUGGCCUGGCCCAGGCUGAACAUCAGCUGCCUGUACCACUGUAUCUGCUGCAUAUGCAAGUGACUGCUGGAACCGUAUAUAUGGCAUUUCAGUUCCUUCUGAAAAAUAUCCUGC
ensembl:lncRNA